rnacentral:rRNA from 1 species
GACGAACGCUGGCGGCGUGCUUAACACAUGCAAGUCGAACGGAAAGGCCCCUUUGGGGGUACUCGAGUGGCGAACGGGUGAGUAACACGUGAGUAACCUGCCCUUGACUUCGGGAUAACUUCAGGAAACUGGGGCUAAUACCGGAUAGGAAUCCUUGCUGCAUGGUGGGGGUUGGAAAGCUUCGGCGGUUUUGGAUGGACUCGCGGCUUAUCAGCUUGUUGGUGGGGUAGUGGCUUACCAAGGCUUUGACGGGUAGCCGGCCUGAGAGGGCGACCGGCCACAUUGGGACUGAGAUACGGCCCAGACUCCUACGGGAGGCAGCAGUGGGGAAUAUUGCACAAUGGGCGGAAGCCUGAUGCAGCAACGCCGCGUGCGGGAUGACGGCCUUCGGGAUGUAAACCGCUUUCAGCAGGGGCGAAGCUUGUGGUGACGGUACCUGCAGAAGAAGCACCGGCUAACUACGUG